CGAGGAGGGACGAUGCGGCUGGCCUCUUUGGCCCGGUGCUCCGAAGGAGUUUCCUGCCCCUCGCAGAGUGCUGUGCGCGGGAGGAAGGGCCUGCAUUUCCUAGCUAGGAGAGAUGCCUGCCGUUCCUGCCAUCCUGGUGUGCAGAUGAGCCUGCAAACUGCCCAGAUCCAUCUGGAAUCCUGAGAAGGCCAGUGCAGAGUGGAGUGGACCUCACAUAGAGAAAUUACCCAGCAAGGAAAUCUGGUGGUAGUGACAGAAGGGAACUCCUGCAUGAUGAUGAAGGAUACUACGGAGCCUAGCAUGAGCAUCACAGAGGCAAGACCUUGCUUUGCUGCCAGCCAGGAAUAAGAGUUGGGAGAAAGAAGUACACCCAGCAUCCCACCUCUACCCCCACCCCACCGCCUGCCAAGCACAGGAGGAGGAGAAACUGCUCAUCACCUUGCAGAUGUUAAUAACUGAACUUAACAUAGCUCGGUGAGGUGGGCUCAUAUUUCUUUAGAUUUGCCUGUUUCUCCACUAGGUACCUACUCAUCAAUUCUCCAUACCUGAAUGGAUGGCAGGUUUCCAUUUCUGCAAAGUUAGUGUUUCCACAAAAUCUGUUCACAAAGGGCCUUUUUUCUUGGUCGUCUCAGACCACUCCCACACCAUGGUCCUCUUGUGGUCCUGACCUGACCCACUUCCCAAGGGACUCCCAGGGUCGGGAUGCCUGGUUGUCAUGGUUACCAGGCCUCAUCCUGCUGCUCUGAGUCUCUCCUGCACACAACUCCCCAGAGAAGCUUUGGCCCCAUCCCGCCCUCCCCAGAUCCUAUCCUGGGAGCUCCAGCCCCUCUGUCCUCUGGCCAGGAGGGAGUUUGGGGGCCAGCACCUCAGAGGGGCACUCCCCGAGAAGAACCAACAAGCGUCACCCUCCUGAGUGUGGUUUAGGAUUGGCCAUUCUCUGGUCACCUGCAGAUGAAGCCUGUGUGGACAGGAGCUGUUGUUGGUCCCCUGUAUAGUUUCAGAGAUCUCUCUGGAAUGAGCACCUCUGUGGAGAGGCCAUGUCUGCCCCCUCUGAAGGUGCCCAGCAGUGGUGGCUGAGGGGUGGAUCUGGGGGACCACUUCCCAAAGGGCAGCCACAGGCACCCUGUUCCUGAAGGACUCCUCACCAGGCCUGCAGCCCCCUCCAUCCUCCCCAGCAGUCCCUGCUCCUGUGCUCCUGGGUGGUGUCCUUCAGGUGUGGCAGCCACAGGUUCCCAGCCCACCCCAGCCUGACCUCCAGAGCAGAGCCAGGGAGCUGCUCCUUGCUGAGCCGGCUGACCUUCCUCAUCCCUCUGGCCCUGCUGUUCACUGGCAGCUCAGAACUCCCAUCCCCAUGGCUUCUGGCACCUGCUCCUGCCCAGGAGGCUGCUUUGGAUCUCAGGCCACCUCUCCUGCAAGAGGCCCUGUCUGUGGUGCACGUUAGGGGAGAGACCAUCCUGACAUGUCAGCCUGGCUCUCUGUCUGGGUCCUACCCUCCCUCCAGUGCUCAGGCCCACUGUAAAUGGGCCAGCAGCUGGGCUCAGAGAGCAUAGAGUUGGGCAGAAGGGAGAGAUCCACAGGAGGCGCUGAAAGAACCCCCAGGAAGGCAGAUGGACAGAGCAAGGCUGGACCCAUGCAGGGAUAGCGGUGGCCCUGGCUAGUCCUGCCUGGAGCACCCUGCCGGCUGCCUCCACCAAACUCACCUGUGACCUGGGAUGUGGCUGUUUUGGCAGUUAGUCUUUAAACAGAUGGCUAAGGUAGAAUCAGGUUACUGGGGCGGCGAGGGGAGGCUGGUUCAUCCACCUGUGUCCUUGUAAGAAAAGGAGAUCAAGACACAGACACCAGAACAGCCAUGGGGGACUCGGGCUCCAUCUGCAAGCCAAUGAACCAGGCCUUGAGAAGAGCCAGCCUUACAGCACCCUGACCCUGACUUCAGCACUGGUUGGGCUCUCUGCUGCCGAAGCCCCCAGCUGCAGAGCUAUUAGGGCUCCCCGUACUUCCCCAGGGCCUCGCCUGGCCUGUGCGUGCUGGUUUUGGUGUGAGUGCCGAUGUCCAGCCUUGCAGGGCCAGAGCUGUCACCAAUCUGGCACCCCCUCCCUUGGACAGGUGCUCCCUGCAGCAGGCACCAGUGCUAGGCAUGGCCUCACGACCCAAGAUGUGCAGUGACGGUGCCCUGAUGCUGCCAGGAGCUGCCGUGGGGCUCUGUUCCACUUCCUGUGAAGCUGGCGUCAGCUUGCUGUGUCCUCCCCACGUCCCUGACUGUGUGGCUGAUGCCUCAGGACUGGUGGUUACACCUGCUGUCCCUGGGCCUGGCAGAGCAGAGGGGACAGCAUGGGAUAGCAUCUGCUGGAGCAGGUCAGGCGCCCUGCUGCACAGCAACUCUCCGAGCAGGGGUAGCGGCCACCUCUUCUCUCCCCACAGAGGUCACCUACAGGGAGGCCCAGGCCCAGAGGUUCAGUGAGUGCUUCACUCGCUCUCCCAGCCUCUAUUGCCAGUCAACACCUCAAGUUCCAUAAAAUGGGUUAAUUCUGGACCAGGUUCCAGGGCCAGCAGCUGAGCCAGGAUCACGAAGUUGAGCCCAGAGUGUGGAUUAGUAGGUAGUUCUCAUCAGCCAACAAAAACCAACCUUUCUUCCAAGCCCUGAUCCUAAGAAGUAAUCACCCUUCGAAUCAGAGUUCCUAAUCUCUGAAACAGGCCCCUGGCUCCCUCCCAACUCUGUCCCAGGCCAGGGAGGAGCCUUGCCCAGGGGCAGGGCCACAGGGUGGAGGCAGUGGCCGGCGAAGCUGAGUUGUAGCUUUGAGUGUCCAGAGCGCUGUAAUUCUUUCUCCUGGGCCCAGGGAGGACACGGGUCUCAUCUGAGGCCCUCGUCUGCACUGGGCCCCCUGUCCUGGGCAGACCACAGCCACAUGAGCCUGGGGUCUGAAGGUCUUGGGUCAGGAUGGCUCUAAGGCCCUUGAAGGGCUUGUGGUGAGGGGCACUGCUCUCCUAUCAGGGCCUAGAUGGGGCAAGGGAGGGGAUGCUACAGGCCCCUCAGCACCAGCCCUUCAGGGACAGGCACUACCUCAGGUGGGUGCUGCGCCUGCCCUGCCCAAUGUGCCCCUGCAGCACUCCCUCCCCUGGGGGCUUGGGGACACCUGAGAUGGCUGGGCAGAGCCUCGGUGCAUGGGGCUCCCCUCCAGGAAACCCCAGUAGGAAUCCAGAGCUGGUCGCAUCCACACAAAGCAGCCUCCCAACUCCAUGUUUGUGGUGUAACAGGGCUUGGCAAGUAAGAAUGCAGGAGGCCCCAGGACAUUUGACUUUCAGGUACAUGAGGAACACUUUCGUAAUGUGAGUGUAGCCCAUGCAAUAUUUAAGACAUACUUAUACUGAAAAAUAUCCAUUGAUUAUGUCUUGGGUGUGGCCUGGCAGCUAUACCUAGGCCAGGUGUGGGGGAGAGCCCUGUGCAUGGACAGGUAUGAGCACGCUAGGCUAGGCCAGGGGAGGUGGGCUGGGAGAAGGCAGGACACCUGCAAUGGCAGCAUGGCCCUGUUCCUGUUACCCAGGAUCUGGUUUGGUGAUGGUAGUCUUACACGCUGACGUGGCCAGCAGACAGCCCUGGGCAGGUUGCUGCCUUUGUCUUAGGAGCUCCUGUCCCCUUUCCUCAGGGGAAGGGCAUUUUCUGUGUCCAGCCCUAGGGCUGGCCUUGUCCCAAAGCCCAGGUGGGGCUUAGCAGGCUGCCCUGCCCUUAUCCAUUGGGGACUCUGACCCUGGAGGGGCCGGAUGUCCUCCUACCUCUGCAAAGUCCAGGCUGAGGGCCUGGGUAAGGAAAGAGGGGUCAGUAGCCAGUGCAUGGGUAUAUGGGGCCUAUGGGAUGCACCCUGCUGCCCACCUCAGCCACCCUCACCACACCAUCUGCCUUCAGCCAGGCCACUGGGCCAGGGGGCUGAACCUUCACUUCGUCCUCCAGUGGGUCUUACAGUGGCGAGGGGCCAACCUCAAAGCACAGGUUCCUGCUGGAGAAGGGGGCACUUGCGGAACCUCAGCUGGUACCCUGUGCCCAUGUCCACAGGCCUCUGUCCUGAGGCCUUCCAGGUCCCAGGCUCAUAGCAUACCAGGCCGCUGGUCUCCCCCCACAGCACCCACAGUGUGAUGCCACCUGUCACAUCCCCAGCCCCCCACCGCGCAUGCCCUCUUGUGCCCCAGGUGCCCCCUGCAUAGAGCCCCCUAAAUCCCAGCUGGCCACAUCCUCCAGUCCAAGAGGCCCCUCAUCCAGCUCCUGUUGGCCUCUCCACCCCAGCGACCCUUGCUCAGCCCUCCCUGGAUCCCCACCCAGGUGCCCACACACACCUUUGAGGGCUCUUCCCCUCCUCCAGGAAGCCCCAGGACUGAGCCACCGAGGUGAGGCCAGCUCCUGGACAUGAAGGAGCUUCCUGGUGAGCCUGCCUUGCACAGCCUGCCUUAUUGCUCCCCCGACUGCCCAUACUGUGUGUGCUGUAUUUUGGCAUGUCGUGGUCUGUGGACUCAAUCCUGAGCAGGUCCCUGUUGCUUCCCCAACUUGAGUGUAACCCACAACACUGGGGACGGCACCUCCUUGCUCUGCUGUUUGAGUUUAAGAGUGGUGAUGAGCAGGGCUCCGAGUCUCCUUAAACACGUCCACCUAUGUGGUCUCACUUUCAAAGGAGCUCGGCUAGGCGAGCUUCACCCCCCAAGGUCCCAGCGACCAAUGCGGGGCUCGGGGUCAUGCAGAACCCAGGGGCACACAGCUGCUUGGGGGAGACCAUGGCAGGGGCACUCUGUGGGAGUGGUGUCCAGAGCCCAGAAAGUCACUGCGCUCAGGCCUGUCCGGCCUCUGGGGCAGCUGCUGGCAGAGCAGAGUGGGUGGGGUCAGCCCUGGUGGCAGGGCUAGAAUCUGGGGCCCAUAGGCCAGUGAGCCCAGACCAGACACGGCUGGCAGCUACUUCACCUCGGAGGAGAUGGACACAGUCACGUGUCACACCCAGCACCCCGAUCUGCACUCCUGACACUCCCACUGCAGGGUGGCUUGUGGUCAAUUCUGUCACCAGAGGCUGGCUUUGCGGCUCUUGAUUCCACUGACAUGAAGGCACAACGAGCAGUCUCAUGCCUGGUGUCUUUCACCAAGAUGAUACUGGAGAAUGUCACGCACUGCCUCACAACUUUGCGGAUUUUAGCGACAUCCGUGCCAUGGUCACAGACCAGGGCCCCUCCAGAAUCCAUCCCAGGUCAGAUUCACGUGUUAAAUCGUGAUGGAGUCAUGUCAUAUCUUGGCCGUGUUGAAGCACACAGCAGGGCACGGAGCUGGUCCACAUUGCAGCCAACACUUCCGUGCACCUCCAGGGCUCCCUCACUUCCCUCUGACGUCCACCCCUCCCAGCCCCUGGCCACAAACAGGAAGCUGGAGAGAAAACCGCUCUCUUGAUGUCCCGUCCCCCAAGAGGUCUGAAGGUGGGCACGGCUCUGCUCCCCCUAGGAGCCCGGCAGGGUCCUUCCUCACCUCCAGCCUUGGUGGCCCCAGGCUGCCCCUGGCUGAGAUUGCAUUGCUGCUCUCGGCCACCUCCUCUGUGCCUGUGCCUUUCAUAAGGACGCAGUCUUUGGGCCACUGCAAUCCAUGAUGACCUCACCUUGCAAUCCUUCACUUAACCUGCGAAGACCUUUUUCUACCCAGGUCUCUACCACAGGUUCUGAGGUUAGACAUGGAUGGACUUUUGUAUUCAAUGCAACACAGCCCUCAGUCCAUUGGUGUUUACAGGUUUAGGGGCCGAGCAGGGCUGGACCCAACCCUGGCUGGACCCAGGUCACAGAAGAGAGGGGGCCCAACCAGAACCCUCAAGAGAGGUGAGGCUGGCCUGACUGGCUCCCAGCAGAGCCUGGGGCAGGGAGGUGCUCACACUAUGCCAGGGAGACGCGGCUGCUGGGCAGGAAGGAGGGGCCCUGUUUCACUCUCGCCCUCCUGGACCCUGUCUGGGUGCUGUUGGCACAGACAUCCUAGAACCGCAGCCCAGGACAGUAGGGUGGGGGACAGCAGACAGCCCUGUCCUGUGUGGGGUCCUGGAGAGAGGGGAGCAGACUGGCCUACCCGGCAGACAGGCUGAGAGCAGGGUGGGGUCUGUGGGUGGGACCCACGGGCUGGGACACAGAGGAUGCCAUGAGGGACAACAGGAACAAAGGCAGCAGCUGGACACCGAGCCGUCUCCCUGUCAGGCCAGAUGGGCAGGUGGGGCUUGGGGGCCAGGCUUUGUGCUGUGAGCCUGGGGACUGCCACCAGCCAGCCAUCAAACCGAGUCCUCCACUGGCAUCCUAAUCAGAAGGGGUGGGGCUUCCCCGGGGCUGUUCAGCCCAGAUCAGAAGGCCAGGGCCAGGCUGUCCCCAGAAAGCCGAGUGUGUGCCUCUCCUGGUCAUCUCGGGGGCACACUGGAAUCCUGCCUUCCUUCCCCGGCUGCUUGCACAGUGCACCAUUUGGGAUGCUGGAAUGACCUGCUCAGGGGUAGGGAGGAAGGGUGCCAACCACUGGAUCCAGUCCCACUCCAGGAUCCCUCAGGAGAGGACAGGUGGAUGCUGUCCCCACAGCCUGGCCAGGACCCACAGUUCACUCUGCGGUGUCAGCCAAGCAGUGGCCAGGCCGAAGCACAGGUCCAGCGCUGCUUGUAUGUGGGGCAGGAGGGAGGAGUCAUACAGCUUUUAGCUCUGUCUAAAGAGCGGCUGUUGGGGGCAAAGAAGGGCAGUCGGUAGUUGGGUGUGCCGGGCACCCGUGGGGUCUAGCGGUCACUGCCAUGAGUGUGGUCCAUACUGGGGAAUGUCCUCAGCAUUUCAACAAUCUCCGGGUGCUCGAUUCUCUGAUGUAAGAACUACUUCCUCCUGUGUUUGAGACGCAAAGAAAUGGGAACUGACGGGAUGAGACCCACGCCAGCCUUCCACACUGCACCUGUGGAUUCAGCCGUGCGUGGAAAAUGUUUUUUGGAGCACAAGGGCACCUGUGCUGAAUAUGCAGACUUCGUUCCUGUCUUUAAAUGCAGCACAGCCACUGUGCACCCGGCGUUUACCAGGCACGCGGUGUUAGAUGUGACCCAGAUAUGGUCUGAAGUACGCAGGACAGAAGGCUGGAGUUUGUCAGCCCCCGUGGACACACAGGGGAAGGACACAAGGCCUCACAUUCUGAGUGAGAUUUGUUUUCAGAAAGCCGGUCCCCUUGGACAGCUCAGCUGGGGAACAGAGCCUGAGCCUCCCUCUGUCCUUUGAGAACAGUGCAGGCUGCAGGGCCUCCUGGGGCCUCCUGCUGUGGAGCACAGCAGGAGCAGGUCCUUAUGCUCUCCUUCCAAAUGGGGAUUAAACACUUCAUCUUUGCCAAUGCCCCUGGCACAGACACCUGGGUUAGCAGGGGAGGUCUCAGAUGUCCCACUUUGGUGGGUUCUGCUGCUCAGGGACACCGUGCUGCCCAACGCCUGAGCCCACUCAGCCUGCCAGGUCCUCCCUGGGCUUGCAGACUCCCCCAUUCAUACAGGAAGAGCAUGAGUGGGUGCUCCUGUUCCCUGCUCAGGGCCACUUACAGGUCUAUGGCCCCAGUGGCCGAGGCAGCCACCUCGCUGGUGUCUCUGGGUCUCCAGGCCACUGUGGAAGCUCUGACGCAGUGUUAAAUGGGGAUCUCCAGGGCUCACUCCUCUGAGUACCCAGAAACCACUUCCUGGAGGGCCCCAACCUUGCUGGGGUGCAGUCAGGGACAUUCGAUGGCAAUAGCCCUGAGGUGACCGUGACUCAGACAGCAGCCUCAAAAACAACCAUGUCAGGACCCACAGAGAACACGCUGCCUGUUAGCACAGAGGGACCAGCCCCACGACACCAGUCUCAAUGUCCAAAUCCAGGAUAAGAGAGAGGGGCCUUCCCCGGAAGCAGAUGCUGCCUUUGGUGCUGCCUGGUCACAGCGCCUGGGCAGACUGACCCCGCUCUUGGGCAGCGUCAGCACACUGAGGGUGCAGGAGUGGGCACCUGUCUGCCGUGGGCUCAUCCACAGGGAGCUCACAGGAAAUGAAGGAAGCAGGAGGAUCCUGAGAGUGACAGUGCUGGGAGAAUGGACAGAGACAUGAAGACGGACAGGGGCAGGGAGACAGAGUCCUGGGGAGACGGUGCGAGGUUGGCGGGGAGCCUGGGUGCUGGAAGUGAAGCAGGCAGAGAAGGUGCUGUGCGCAGCGUCUGGAGAGCUGACCUGUAGCUCUGCCACUGACCUGUGGCCCCUCACCUCCACCCCAGCCUUGUCACCCACCCGGCUCCUCUGCGCAGCUGCCAGGUGACAACAGAGGCUCUCCGGGCAGGAAGGGUGGGCUAGGACCGGUCCUUUUCACCUCCAGCAUUUGAACUCAUUUCUACCAUGAGAACCAGCAGGUAGAGGGACAGCCUGCUGCAUCUCGGGGACGGCCUGCGGUCCCAGCAGCCAGUAGGGUGCUGGUGUGCUCCUUCAGGGACGGCAGCAGGGUGCAGGCCAGGGCUAGGGCGGCUGACAGUCUUGAGGUGGGGGCCCAUCCCCCCCCCCCCCGCCUAGGUCAUCAAAGCUUCAGGGAAGGGAGAGAGGAAGGAAGGACAGUGGAGCCAUGGCCUGGACCAGGCUGCCCGGAAGAUGAAGUGGGCCCUGUGGGACUGAGGUCUCGAGUGAGUCCUGAGGAAGAGUUGGAACCCACCCAGGCCUUUCCUGCCUUCUUCCUCCUGACACCAGGGUGCCUGAGGCAGCUGCCCAGGGCUCACCUCCAGGCACCCCCGAGGCCAGGUGAGCCUGAGCCCAGCCUGGUGCAGGUGUGCCCUGGGGUCUCUCCCCUCUCAGGAGACCCCAGACAAAGGGGGCAAGGACCCAGGGUGGAGGCUGGUAGCUGGAGCCCAGGUUUCCCCGGUAGGUGGAGACUUCUCCCUGCUGGAGCUGCUGCCCCCCCAUGGCAACUUGUGGCCCCCAGACCGCAGGCCUGAAGACAGUGCGGAGGUGUGUGUCAGCUCCCCACAUGACUGUUGGCGUGAUGUGUGCAAGCACAGACUAACAAUAAAUAAGAAAGAUCCAAGUGCUGUGUGGCAGGGGUCUGUAAGACGCAAAGUCUCACUUUCACUCCACGGAGGGUGAACAGCCAAAAGGGCCUCCACAAUGUUGGGUCCUAUAGCCCAGCAAGGCUCCGGGAGCUCCACAGAGGAACGAGAAACCCAGGAAGGAACACACCAGGC